rnacentral:snRNA from 1 species
UUCCUUCCGCAGCACGUGUACUAAAAUUGGAACGAUACAGAGAUUAGCAUGGCCCCUGUGCAAGGAUGACACGCAAAUUCUGAAGCGUUCCCCCCCCCC